rnacentral:tRNA from 1 species
AUAAUUUUACGAAUCCGGUGUUGCGGGGCCGUGUUCAAUUU